rnacentral:tRNA from 1 species
GGAGAGGUCGCAUAGUGGCCUAGUGCGCGUCUUUGGAGAAGACGUAUAACCGCAAGGUUAUCGAGGGUUCAAAUCCCUCCCUCUCCGCCA